CCUGACUCAGCCGCAGACAUUAGUGCUAGGAAGAUGGCGCACCCGGCGAUGUUUCCUAGAAGGGGCAGCAGCAGUAGCAGCGGCAGCAGCUGCGUUACUGCUCCCACUGCACCAGGUACCGGCGUUGGGAGCGCUGCCCUCUCCGCCGAGGAUUAUCAGCCGCCUUUGCUGGUCCAGCCACCACCUCCAUCUCCUGCAUCAGCUUCAACAGCGGGUCCACAGCCGACACCCCCUCAUCCACAAAGCCUGAACCUCCUCUCGCAGUCUCAGCUCCAGCCACAGCCCCUUGCGCAGGCUGGAGCUCAAAUGAAAAAGAAAAGUGGCUUUCAAAUUACCAGUGUCACCCCUGCUCAAAUAUCAGCUAGUAUGAGCUCUAAUAACAGCAUAGCUGAGGAUACAGAAAGCUACGAUGACCUCGAUGAGUCUCACACUGAAGACCUGUCAUCUUCAGAAAUCUUGGACGUGUCUUUAUCCAGAGCCACUGACUUGGGAGAACCUGAGAGGAGUUCUUCUGAAGAGACUCUAAAUAACUUCCAAGAGGCAGAGACUCCUGGGGCUGUUUCUCCAAACCAGCCUCAUCUUCCUCAGCAGCAUGCUCCUCUGCCUCAUCACCCGCAGCAGAGUGUUGUGAUCAAUGGAAGUGUUCAUCCCCAUCAUGUUCAUCAUCACCACCAUCUUCACCACCACCAUCAUGGACACCAUCAUCCAUCGCAUCCUGGGGUGGGUAGUGCCCCAGUUUCUGGAGGACCACCUCCCAGUCCAUCGUUUAGAAAACUAUCAACAACUGGAAGCUCUGACAAUGUUAUACCAACUGCACCAGUUUCUGCUGCAUCAUCCACUGGUUCCCUGGCAUCUGCCGUGUCUAAUAUCCGCACUACGAGUACUCCUGGCAAUUUAGGUAUAAGUCCUGCUACUGGAACUAGUACCUUAAAUAAUAUUGGUGGUGGUAGUUCUAGUGUGGCAAGUAACGUGCUUGGUACUAUAAAUUUAAGCAACAUCACGAGUACUGGUAAUGUAAAUGCUUUGUCUGGAACUAGCAGCAAUGCUAAUGCGAGUAUCUUGAGUGGUGUUGGCAAUGGUACGAGUGCUUCCUCUAGUGUCAUUAACAAUGUUACUAAUCCAACUGCAGGAAUGGCAGUGGGAUCAAGCCAGCAGCAGCCUGCAUCUGGCACGUCAAGGUUUAGGGUUGUAAAAUUAGAUUCUAGUUCUGAACCUUUCAAAAAAGGUAGAUGGACUUGCACUGAAUUCUAUGAUAAAGAAAAUACUGUUGCAGUUUCGGAGGGAGUAGCAGUAAACAAAGCAGUAGAGACGAUAAAACAAAACCCGCUUGAAGUGACUUCUGAAAGGGAGAGCACCAGUGGGAGUUCUGUUAGCAGCAAUGUAAGCACACUGAGUCACUAUACAGAAAGUGUGGGAAGUGGAGAAAUGGGAGCACCUACUGUGGUACAGCAGCAAGCAUUUCAAGGUGUGGGUCCGCAGCAGAUGGAUUUUAGCAGUACUGCUCCUCCAGCAAUUCCAGCAUCUAGUAUACCACAGAGUGUUUCUCAAUCACAGCUUGCACAAGUCCAGCUGCAUUCUCAAGAGGUAAAUUAUCCACAGCAGAAGCCAGGGGUCCAACCUCCUGCACAGGCCAGUCUAACCACUGUUACUGGGGUUCAGCCAGCCCCAGUUAAUAUACUAGGUGUAUCCCCAUCUCUGGGCCACCAGCAACCUGCCCUUCAGAGUAUGGCUCAACAGCAGCUGCCGUAUUCACAGCCAGCACAGCCUGUGCAGACUUUGCCAGUGGUGCAGCAGCAGCAGUUGCAGUAUGGACAACAGCAGCAACAGCAGCCAGUUCCUACGCAGAUGGCCACGGGUCACGUUAAGCCGGUGAACCAAAACUCUGUCACAGGGGCUAUGCCAGACUACAUUCAGCAUCAGCAGAUCCUUCAGACUCCAGCCCCUGCCAUGCAGCCAAGUUCUACAGGAGUGGGAGCUGGACAACCGGUUCCUGUUGCCCAGGCACAGGGCAUGCAGCCUUCAGUGCAAGCACAUCCAGCUGCUGCCCCAGCUCAGCCUGUUGCCCAUGCUCCAGCAGCAAUACCAGGUGUAGCUGCCAGUGGUCAGAUACUAAAUGUUGGGCAGCAAGGAACCGUAGCUGCUGUGGUGCAACCACCAUCUGCUUCAAACCAAAUUCCACCUCCAGUUAUGCCAUCAACUGCUGCUCCUCCAUCUUCCCAAAUAGUGCAGCCUGUGCAGACAGGAAUAAUGCAGCAGGGAUUACAGGCCGGUGCUACAGGCCUUCCUCAGCAAAUGGUCAUUGCUCAGCAAAACACCUUGUUACCUGUACAGCCACAGGCACAAGGAGUGGAAUCUGUAGUUCAAGGGAUGACUGGCCAGCAGCUGCCUGCGGUAAGCCCUAUACCCUCUGCUAGUACUGUUCCUGCACCAAGUCAAACUGGUUCAGCUGUGCCUCCUGGCAUACCUUCUGCUUCUGUAGGUUUGGGACAGCCACAGAAUAUAGCACAGGCUUCGGCUGUGCAGAAUGGCAAUUUGGCUCAAAGCGUUAGUCAGCCUCCCUUGAUAUCAACAAGUAUAGGUAUGCCAGUGGCACAGAGUGUGCCACAGCAGAUGCCACUAAGCUCUACCCAGUUCCCUGCACAAUCACUAGCUCAGUCCAUUGUAAGCCAAAUCGAAGAUGGCAGACGCCCUACAGAACCUUCCUUGGUGGGUUUACCUCAAGCUGCCAGCGUCGAGAGUGGUGGUGGAGCAUCGGCCGCUUCAGAUGGCGGUAGCAGCAGCAUGCCAUCCUCGGCAUCCCUCUUUCCGCUGAAGGUGCUGCCGUUGACAACGCCUCUUGUAGAUGGUGAGGAUGAGAGAUACAGAAUGACAGUCAAACACUGCACACUGGUAUGCCUGUGAAGAGGCACUGCCAAAGUUAAUUGUGUCUAGUGCAAAAGCUUGGAGUUCUGGCUGAUCAAAGCAGGUGUGUGCUCUAGAGGAGAGGAUGAAGAAACACCACCAAUUGACCCAAAAUGAAUUAAGUGAAAUUGAUCAAACAUGAUGAGUAAUGUACCUUCUUGGUUAACUGUUGGAUCAUGCUCUACCUGAUGUCUUAAGAGCAAAGAAGAGCCCUGCAGCUGCCCACAAAAGUAAAGAACCAGUGUGAGAGUUUGAAGAAAGAAUCCGCUCAGAGGACUGAGUCUCAAGCAAAAGCUCCAGGUUGCAGACUCAGAAAGAAACUUCCUUUGGGGAAGGAUCUGCUUCCAGGAUUUGCUCGUCUCUUUUUCCUUGGGCAAACAGUUCUUGAAGCAAACAACAGGGUUGCAGGACACCUUCUAACCUUUAUACUGCAUCACAAGCCUUCAGCAGAAGAUCUUAUGGUGCUGGAAGAUGACUGGGUUUGGAUCUUGGCCUUCCCUAAGCAGGAUCUUCUGACAAAAAAUGGGAUUGGGAAAGAAAUGACUCCUCUUUCCAUCACACAGAACCACCCUAGAAAUGGAGGCCUAGGCAGAAAAUUACUUCUAAUGCAUCGUUCUUUAGGAAAUGUUUGGCCUCCCAUGGUCCUUUUGUUACAAUGUCGUAUAGAUGUCUUUUAUAAAAUCUAAACCUGGCAUCUUCCUAUCUGAAGAUCAAGUCAAUAAAUCCAAGAUUAAGAGUUUACAGGUCUAAUAAUGUGGUCGUAUGUUGCUGUCCCUUGCAUAGGAGAUGCCACGUGAAUCUGUGAAACAGGGUUCUGCUGUGGUUCAGACUGUUCUAUUUGUAAAGCCUUUUCUACUUAUAUUAAAAUGAUUAGAAAUAAUAUUAAUAAAGGUUCUUAUGAAAAUGGUAUUUAGACUUCUACCUUUCCAGGUUUACUUAAAAAUAAAUCUGAGCCAAAAUGUCACAGUGGGCAAUAUGGGAAGUACUGCAUCUUUUGAGGUUUCCUGUGGCUUUGUGUCACAAAAAAGUAUGUUGGAACUGUUGAGAGCUAUAAAAGUGGAAAUCUUAGAUUUUUUUUUUUUUUUUUUGAGUGAGAAGUUGUUUGUUAGAAAGCAGAAAGCUUUUGUUUUCCCCCCAAGGGAUUCUGUAGUCAAUUAAAUGUCUUGCAAGAUCUCAAAUAAAAACCUUAUGUUUGACAGUAGUGAGCAGCACACGCAUACGUGUGUACUUGUGUUGUUCUUGCUAUAGGAGAUUAGUUUGGAAGAAUGGGACUUACUUCUAAUGUUCAGAUUAGGAAAGGGGAAAGUUUUGUUCUGAAGUUAAGUGUGAGAAUAGGGGGCAGAAGGGUGUACCAGACCCUCUGGCACUAGGUGAAGAGUCAGUUUUACUGUUUUCUGCUUCUGGCAGCUGAAGUAAACUAGCCAGAUGCUUGUACUUGUAUCCAAUUAAUUUCUUAAAUCAGUUACACAAAACAUUGUUUUUUAACUAAUGCCUAGAUCUUUUGUUAAAUUCACCAGCUUAUUUAAAUUAUUCAAUAGUCUUAACCUAGCCCUGAGGCUACUGCUUCAUGGCAGUUGUGACUUUUUACUAUGCUGGAAUGCAUUGCAGUCCUAGUACAUUCUAAAAAUAAUUGUUCAGAUGGUGCCGUUUAAGUACAUACUUAUGUAGUGAGCCAUUUUCACUGGACUUUCUGAGAAAUUGGCUUUCUGUUGGAUGGCUUUUUAAUAUCUUAUUUUGCUGUGAGUAUCAAACUUGUUUGUCUUGCUGCUUCUAUGGUUAUUGAGUAAAGUGCUGAAUUUAUAACCUGAUACAUUUAGAGAACUGAUAGUCAGAUGUGUGUGUUAAGCUAUGCAACCACAAUAACACUUGUGAAUUUUGAAGUUUAAAAAGAAAUCAGUUUAACUCUAAUGUAUCAAAUUCAAUCCUAUAUGGGGGAAUACAUAUGUGAUGAACUUAAAAUUGAGUAGUUGUUACAGGUGUAGACAUGAAUUGUAUACUGAACAGAAGUAAUUUAGAUGUUAAGAGCUGGAGAUAUGUGGGUCUCAGAAAUGAAUUAUAACAUCUGUGACUAGAGUUUUGUGCCAGCAGUGCUUUUAGUUGAAAAUACCUGUUUGUUUAACUUCUAGUCCAUUUAAGGUCUGAUACCCUUUGUGCCUUAAUAGGUAUACUUACACUUGCCUCAGCCACAGUUUUUGGUCAUUUUGUUCUGUAGUAGGUAAAUUUAGGACUGUCAAAUACUUACAAAACAGGCACUGAGAGCUAUUUAUGUUACUGUCUCGGUUCCUAAAAUGGGUUUACACCUCCCCAUCACAAUUAGGAAACAAAACCACCAAAACAAAAGCAAAAACCAAACAAAAAAGCCUGUUGCAAUUCUGCAGUCAGUAUUUUGAUACUUCUUGUCUAUCACCGUUGUGUUAGCAUGUUUCUGUCAUGCUCCGAGUUUUACAGCUGGACUCCUGGGUUCUUGAUACCUCAUUAGAACAAUAACUCCUGCCUUUGUGUUAUUAAAUAAUAAAGAUAUCUGAAACAA